UAGGGAAUCUUCCGCAAUGGGCGAAAGCUUGACGGAGCAACGCCGCGUGAGUGAUGAAGGUCUUCGGAUCGUAAAACUCUGUUAUUAGGGAAGUACAAAUGUGUAAGUAACUAUGCACGUCUUGACGGUACCUAAUCAGAAAGCCACGGCUAACUACGUGCCAGCAGCCGCGGUAAUACGUAGGUGGCAAGCGUUAUCCGGAAUUAUUGGGCGUAAAGCGCGCGUAGGCGGUUUUUUAAGUCUGAUGUGAAAGCCCACGGCUCAACCGUGGAGGGUCAUUGGAAACUGGAAAACUUGAGUGCAGAAGAGGAAAGUGGAAUUCCAUGUGUAGCGGUGAAAUGCGCAGAGAUAUGGAGGAACACCAGUGGCGAAGGCGACUUUCUGGUCUGUAACUGACGCUGAUGUGCGAAAGCGUGGGGAUCAAACAGG
rnacentral:rRNA from 1 species